rnacentral:tRNA from 1 species
GCCUGGGUGGCUCAGUCGGUUGAGCAUCCGACUUCGGCUCAGGUCAUGAUCUCGCAGUCUGUGAGUUCGAGCCCCACGUCGGGCU